AUCCUUCUGGACCUGUUGCGGGCUAAGUGGUGCCAACACUAUGUUCUUCCCAUUCUUGGCAAAUGAAUAGGUAUUUUUGAAGCCGUCAUGAAUAGCCCUCCGAUCGUACUGCCAAGGCCUUCUCAAAAGAAGAUGGCUGGCUUUCAUAGGAACCACAUCACAAACAACCUCAUCUUUAUAGGACUUGCCAAUAGAGAAAGGUACUAC
rnacentral:lncRNA from 1 species